rnacentral:lncRNA from 1 species
CCAGUGAGUCACUUGAUUUCCUGCUGCCUGCAAACUGUAGGACUCUCAGUGUCAGCACACCUGCCUGCAUGCUCCCAUGCUCCCUGCCAUAAUGAUAACUGACUGAACCUCUGAAACAAUUCUAUCAAAGGAUUUACUCAUCAUCAGAAGAAAACUUGGAGCUUGGUUACUUUCUUCCCCUUUCUUCAGUUGGAUCGGUUUUUACGUUGAGUCACAUCAUGAUGUAGAACUCUCAGCUACUACCCCAGCACCAUGUCUGCCUGCACACUGCCAUGUUCCCGUCAGGAUGAUAAUGGACUAAACCUGGAACUGUAGACAGGAUCUCACUAUGUAGUACCUGGAUGUCCUGGAAUACACAAGAUUUUUUUAUCAAAGGUGAGGGAGGAGGAGCAAGACCAAGAGACUCUUGGUUCUUAGCCUACAGCUUGGGAAGUCCAAAAGAACAGUACCAGCAUCUGUUCAGCCUUUUGUGGGGAUCCUGUAACCCUCAACUCGUGGCAGAAAGUCAAGGGCAAGGGUGGGUUUGGGAGACAAAACAUGAUGGGAAUUAUCCUGAACAGAAAAGCAAAUGCAUGCUAACUAGUCCCAUAUCUUACAAAAGUAAGAGUUCACUUGGGGGCAGCUCCCUUGAUUCAAAUGCUUCUUAGAGGAUUCACCACCUCUCAGCACCAUUCUAUUGGGUGGGAAUCAAGCCUCAACAUCAGCUUCAGACCACUACAUGUGGAUACGCCAAGGUAUAACCCAUGUAUAUAUUCAGGGGCACUUUGUGUGGCC